rnacentral:rRNA from 1 species
GCGAGAAAACUUUGCAAUGUGCGAAAGCACGACAAGGUUAAUCCGAGUGGUUUCUGCUAAAGAAACCUUUUGUCAGUCCUAGAAACACUAACGAAUAAGGGGUGGGCAAGUUCUGGUGUCAGCCGCCGCGGUAAAACCAGCACCUCAAGUGGUCAGGAUGAUUAUUGGGCCUAAAGCAUCCGUAGCUCGUUUUGUAAGUUUUCGGUUAAAUCCAUGCGCUUAACGUAUGGGCUGCCGGGAAUACUGCAUAGCUAGGAAGUGGGAGAGGUAGACGGUACUCGGUAGGAAGGGGUAAAAUCCUUUGAUCUAUUGAUGACCACCUGUGGCGAAGGCGGUCUACCAGAACACGUUCGACGGUGAGGGAUGAAAGCUGGGGGAGCAAACCGGAUUAGAUACCCACGUAGUCCCUGAGCGGGC